rnacentral:rRNA from 1 species
AUACGUAGGUGGCAAGCGUUGUCCGGAAUUAUUGGGCGUAAAGCGCGCGCAGGUGGUUCCUUAAGUCUGAUGUGAAAGCCCCCGGCUCCACCGGGGAGGGUCAUUGGAAACUGGGGAACUUGAGUGCAGAAGAGGAUAGUGGAAUUCCAAGUGUAGCGGUGAAAUGCGUAGAGAUUUGGAGGAACACCAGUGGCGAAGGCGACUGUCUGGUCUGUAACUGACACUGAGGCGCGAAAGCGUGGGGAGCAAACAGGAUUAGAUACCCUGGUAGUCCACGCCGUAAACGAUGAGUGCUAAGUGUUGGGGGGUUUCCGCCCCUCAGUGCUGCAGCUAACGCAUUAAGCACUCCGCCUGGGGAGUACGGUCGCAAGACUGAAACUCAAAUGAAUUGGCGGGG